rnacentral:rRNA from 1 species
UACGAAGGGGGCUAGCGUUGUUCGGAAUCACUGGGCGUAAAGGGCGCGUAGGCGGCCCGAUCAGUCGGGGGUGAAAGCCUGUGGCUCAACCACAGAAUGGCCUUCGAUACUGUCGGGCUUGAGUCCGGAAGAGGUAAGUGGAACUGCGAGUGUAGAGGUGAAAUUCGUAGAUAUUCGCAAGAACACCAGUGGCGAAGGCGGCUUACUGGUCCGGAUCUGACGCUGAGGCGCGAAAGCGUGGGGAGCAAACAGG